rnacentral:rRNA from 1 species
GAUGAACGCUGGCGGCGUGCCUAAUACAUGCAAGUCGAGCGAACGGUCGAGAAGCUUGCUUUUCUGAUGUUAGCGGCGGACGGGUGAGUAACACGUGGAUAGCCUACCUAUAAGACUGGGAUAACUUCGGGAAACCGGAGCUAAUACCGGAUAAUAUUUUGAACCGCAUGGUUCAAAAGUGAAAGACGGUCUUGCUGUCACUUAUAGAUGGAUCCGCGCUGCAUUAGCUAGUUGGUAAGGUAACGGCUUACCAAGGCAACGAUGCAUAGCCGACCUGAGAGGGUGAUCGGCCACACUGGAACUGAGACACGGUCCAGACUCCUACGGGAGGCAGCAGUAGGGAAUCUUCCGCAAAGGGCGAAAGCCUGACGGAGCAACGCCGCGUGAGUGAUGAAGGUCUUCGGAUCGUAAAACUCUGUUAUUAGGGAAGAACAUAUGUGUAAGUAACUGUGCACAUCUUGACGGUACCUAAUCAGAAAGCCACGGCUAACUACGUG